AUCUCUUUGACCUGGACUGCUUGCUGAAGAGGUGUGCUGCAUAGCUAGAGAUCCCCUUCUCCAGUUGGCUCUCUUGCAGGCCUGUCUGCAGCUUCUCACUGCUUGGAGAGGCCCUGGCUUGGCCCUGCUCUCGGGACAUGGGUGUUCCUGGAAGACCUGCUCCAAAACACCUGAGAAAGUGCCUGAGAAACCUGUACAUCCUCAGACCACUUGGCCUCUCACAAUAAAACUGCUAAUUCACCUGUACAAUGCUUUAGCUGUCUGAAUGUAUCAUGGAACAUAAGCAUAAGGAGAUCCCAGGAAAGAGGGAUAACAGGAAACUCCUUAAAAGCUAAUCAUUCCCAGUCAAAGAUAAGCUGUGAGCUGUUGCUCUAUCUUAAUAAUUAUUUUCGGCAGUAUGGACCGACUCUUCCAAUCUCACAGCUAAUACAGCAGUCUACACAGGCUUUUCUUCUUUUUAAGGCACAGGGCAGAAGGACAACCCACAUUCCAGGGCCUGUUUGAUAGCAUGCCACAACUUGAGUUAAGCAGGUGGCAGGGUGAGAUAUAAAGGGUUUGCUAAACAAAGAAUUUUUAUUUCCUGGUUUGUGCCUGCAGGGGAGGAAUUAUGAAAGCAAAGCAGAAAUCUGACAGCCGAAGAGCAUCCAGAAUUUUUAAAUGAACUGUUUUAUUGUUCUUUUAUAAAGCUAUGCAGAUUAAUUACAGUUUACAAAUAAAAGAGGCUUUUGCAAUGAUGAACCC
ensembl:lncRNA